CGCCUCUUGCAUACUGCAUAUAAGAGGUCCCGCCUGCCCUGUGACUACAUGUUUAACGGCCGCGGUAUUUUGACCGUGCAAAGGUAGCGCAAUCACUUGUCUUUUAAAUAAAGACCCGUAUGAAUGGCAUGACGAGGGCUUGACUGUCUCCUUCCCUUGGUCAAUGAAAUUGAUCUCCCCGUGCAGAAGCGGGGAUAAACCCAUAAGACGAGAAGACCCUAUGGAGCUUUAGAUUUCCGAGAGAUUUUGUGUCGAUAUAGUACCCUUCAAGGCAUAAAACAAGCACUAACUCUCCCGGAUGUCUUUGGUUGGGGCGACCGCGGAGUAAAAAAGAACCUCCGUGAGGAUUGAGGGUAAUAUCCUUAAAACCAAGAUCACCUAUUCUAAGUAGCAAAACUUUUGACCUUUAUGAUCCGGCUAAGGCCGAUCAACGGACCGAGUUACCCUAGGGAUAACAGCGCAAUCCUCUUCAAGAGUCCCUAUCGACAAGAGGGUUUACGACCUCGAUGUUGGAUCAGGACAUCCUAAUGGUGUAGCCGCUAUUAAGGGUUCGUUUGUUCAACGAUUAAAGUCCU
rnacentral:rRNA from 1 species